GGACACGUGAAAUCCUGUCUGAACAUGGGGGGACCACCCUCCAAGCCUAAGUACUCCUUGUCGACCGAUAGCGAACAAGUACCGUGAGGGAAAGAUGCAAAGCCGCGCGAGAGCGCUGUCAAAGAGUACCUGAACUUGCUGAAAAGGAAGCGAAGG
rnacentral:rRNA from 1 species